GAUCCUCGUGCGAUGGAAAUCCUUCCUCCAGGUUCCGGAGCACCCCACUAUUGCUGGAAAUUCCUAACAAGAUAGCCUUUAGCCGUCCUGACUUGUCAUACUCCCACACAGUGAAGCAGCACACGGGGGCAAUGCACUCCCCUCGCCGCCAUCUUCUUCCCCAGAGUUUUCAAUAUUUAAAAUUUUUUUAGUGAUUGUGUAUCUUAACUGUUGUUUUAAAGAAGCUCUGGAUGGAACAGAAGGGAAAAAUUGGAUUUUAGUUCUCUGGAAAUUUCAUCUGUUGGCUUUUUUUAUCCUGUUACUUUAUAUACUAUAUUUAUUUUUUUCAAAAAAAUAUUUUUUCCUCAUUAGAUCAAAUAUUGGAAGCUACUUUGUAUAUGUGUUAAGUUAUUAAUCUCUGAUUAUCUUAAUCUUUUUGCUUUCCCACAGAUUUUAAGGGUUUCUACUUUACUCUUAUGUGAUAACUACAUGUUCUAGAAAAAGGUUAAUGAUACCAUGAUGUUCUUUUCAUUUUAUUUUUCAUACUACAAUUACAAAAAAAUAAGUCAUAUUUUGGUAAUAUUUUCCUCUUCUGAGUCUCGUUUAGAUCAUUCAUUCCUAACAGCCCCUCCCCCACCAUUCUGUGGUAACUCUUUCUUUUAGGAUCUAGUCUGCUUGGAAGGUUGGACAUUUUCGAACAUCUGGUGAUUUUUGUUCUUAAGAUUUAUUCUAAUCUUUUAUUUGCUAACAGUUAGGAGUCAUCAACGUCUGUUUUCCAUCUCACUGUUUAUCAAACAGCCCUUUCUUUGAUUGUCAGCACCAUCAUAGUUCCUACUUAAAAAGCUUCAGUCUUCAUUAGGAGUCUAAGGUCCUUUGAGCAAAGUAAUGUCAGGUAGGAUUUUUUUUUAAUAUUUGUUUUUUAGUUUUAGGU
rnacentral:lncRNA from 1 species